rnacentral:rRNA from 1 species
AGAGUUUGAUCCUGGCUCAGGAUGAACGCUAGCGGCAGGCUUAAUACAUGCAAGUCGUGGGGCAGCAGCUCUGUAGCAAUACAGAGGCUGGCGACCGGCAAACGGGUGCGGAACACGUACGCAACCUUCCUUUAACUGGAGAAUAGCCCCUCGAAAGAGGGAUUAAUACUCCGUAACAUAAUGAAGUGGCAUCACUUUAUUAUUAUAGCCUUCGGGCGGUUAAAGAUGGGCGUGCGCCUGAUUAGAUAGUUGGCGGGGUAACGGCCCACCAAGUCUGCGAUCAGUAACUGGUGUGAGAGCACGACCAGUCACACGGGCACUGAGACACGGGCCCGACUCCUACGGGAGGCAGCAGUAAGGAAUAUUGGUCAAUGGACGCAAGUCUGAACCAGCCAUGCCGCGUGGAGGAUUAAGGCCCUCUGGGUUGUAAACUCCUUUUAUCUGGGAAGAAAUGCCAUUUUUCUAAAUGGUUUGACGGUACCAGAGGAAUAAGCACCGGCUAACUCCGUGCCAGCAGCCGCGGUA